rnacentral:lncRNA from 1 species
AUUCCUGAUCUUUCCAAGACUUUUAUCAUGAAUGGGUAUUGGAUUUUGUCAAAUGCUUUCUCAGCAUCUAAUGAGAUAAUCAUGUGUUUUUUUUUCUUUGAUUUGGUUUAUAUUGUGAAUUACGCUGAUGGAUUUGCGUAUAUUAAACCAUCCCUACAUCCCUGGGAUCCAGCCUACUUGGUCAUGAUGGAUGAUUGUCUUGAUGUGUUCUUGGAUUCGGUUUGUGAGGAUUUUAUUAAGUAUUUUUGCAUCCAUGGUCAUAAGAGAAAUUGGUCUGAAGUUCUCUUUUUUUCUUGGAUCUUUGUGUGGUUUAGGUAUCAGAGUAAUUGUGGCUUCAUAGAAAGAAUUGGGUAGAGUGCCUUCUGUCUCUAUUUUGUGGAAUAGUUUGAGGAGAGUUGGAAUCAGGUCUUCUUCGAAGGUCUGCUAGAACUUUGCACUAAACCCGUCAGGUCCUGGACUUUUUGGGGCUGGGAGACUAUUGAUGACUGCUUCUAUUUCUUUAGGGAAAUGAGAGUGUUUACAUCAUUAAUCUGAUUCUGAUUUAACUUUGGUAUCUGGUAUCUGUCUAGGAAGUUGUUUAUUUCAUACAGGUUUUCAGUUUUCCUGAGUAUAGCCUUUUGUAGUAGGAUCUGAUGAUGUUUUGGAUUUCCUCAGGUUCUGUUGUUAUGUUAUAAAGAACUCAAGUAGAUAACCUUCAUAAGAGCUAAGAACACAAUCUAAAAAUGAGGUAGAGAACUAAACACAACAUUCACAACAACGCAUCUUGAAUGGCUGAGAAGCACUGAAGAAGUGUGCAAAGUCCUUUUUUUUCAGGUAAAUGAAUAUCAAAAUGACCCUGAGGUGGUGUCCAGCGUUAUACUUUCCAGUGAAGAAUGCUAAGAUCAAAAAAACUCAUGUGAAAGCAUAUGUUGGUGAGAAUUUGAAGAAAGAGGAACAUUCUUCCAUUUCUGGUGGGACUGCAAAGUGCUAUGGCAACUCUGGAAAUCAAAAUGGAGUUCCUCAGAAAUUUUCAGAUAGAUCUACCUGAGAGCCAAGGACCAACCUUACUGGUGCAUGGCCUGCUACUUUCAGUUUUCACUUGAUGGCUUGUUACUCAGAUUUUCUUAUUGGGCUAUGACAUUGCUCUUGUCUUUCUGAUUCUCAAGCAGUUCUCUGUUCUUACACAUUGUUUUGAGGUACCUCUAGCCACUGGGACUUAUUUAUACCUUCAAAUCCCUCUAAAUUGGGGGACUUCUAAUACUUGGAGAAGCUGAGUGACAAAAGCAAAGUAUGUUGAGCCCUUUGGUGUCCACUGCACACGAAUCUAUGGGAGUUUAGAUAUAAUAAUCCUCUAGAACAUUCUUUAGGAAAGCAGCAGUAUGCUCUCAGUUCCCUGUGUGACCUCAGUUACCUUUGCCAGCUUUGUGGGCUUCUCUACUGCUGGUCUGAGAACAAUUGGAAACUCCUGGAAUAGAUGUCUCAUAUCUCAUUUCCUUUGUCUUUGUUAGUAUACUGAUGGGAUUCGGUUUGAUGGAAAUAUACUCUCAAGAAAAAUUAAUAAAACCAGUGCUUCUUACGGACCAUCAGGAUGAAGUACCAAGUUCAAGGACAGUUCUGCAAGAACUGCUCAAAGCCAGCCAAGUGGAACAAGAAGAAAGCCAAGCAGAAGUCAUUCAUUCCCAGCACCCUCAGCACCUUUCUCCAGGACAGGGUCACUCAGCUUUGGUAGAAGAAGGGAUGACCUGAGAUAGCUGCCACAUAUUCCCUCAGAAAAGAAGCAGCCAGCAAUAUUGGGGAAAGAAUAUAGGUGUCAGGGGGCAGAAAGCAGAGUGUAAAGUGAAUAAAUAAAAAGAUAUCAAUAAAAAAUAUUUAAUUAUUUAAAAAAAUUGGACAGAAUGUAUUGUUCUAGUAACUCUACUGUGUAUACACAGGCAAUAACUUUAACACCCAGAGAGAAUAGAUGUUGUAAAGUAGGGUGCCUUUGGUAUUGACAUAAACUAGGAACAUAGCAAAGAUAAAUAAAAAAGAAAGAUGUUUGUCCCAUAGAUCCAUUAUUCUCCUCAAGUCGAAGUGUUUGUGCUCACUUUUACCAGAACUCUGGAAACCUCUGUUAAUCCAGGUCUCAGGGCUCAUCCAAAGUACAGUCCUGAACUGGCUGUGGCCAAGGGUUCCUGUGUUGUUGGCUGACCUCUGCCUCAGGCUUCAGAGGCACUGGAGGGGCAGUUUUGGCCUUCAGGUGGCAGCCAUUCCAGGUCCCCUACCAUACCAGAUAGCGAGUCUUCCACAGAUGCCUGACAUCUCAAAAAUAGAAGCUUGGGUAUUUCAAAGAUUGGGAUGCCACUCUACAGUCAUGAUGAGUUGAUUACGUGAGACCGUACAAGUUAACUAAUGUCUGUAUGACUGUUUUCUUUAUUUGAAAGUGAGUAAUGAGAUCAUCUCAGGAGUGGUUGCUAAGAAUAAAAUCACUGAUUAACAUAAAUGAUAGGACUGUACAGAGCAUGGGCUUAAUAUUCUGGGUCCAGUGCAAAUAGCUGGGAGAGUUCAAAACAAAACCAAUAAAAGCAACAGGAAUACAAACAACAACAAUUGUUUAAAACCCUUUUGAGUGCUGAGAUUACUGGCAUGUACCAACUGUGGCUAACUUUUUUUGUUUUUAUAAUUAACAACCAAACAUACAAACAAACAAACAUCCCUAUUCCAAUUCCAGCAGUUUGCAUCAGAGAGAGCUGUGUGACACUGCAUGCUGCUUCCUUUCCUCAGAUAGCUCAGGUCGUCAGUCCUAUACCAGGUCAGCUGGACCUAAGACAGUGUAGUUGAACUACUUGCUGUCACGACAUGAUUCUACAACAAUCCUUUUCUUGGUAAAAUUGAGCCUCUAUAGAGUAAGCCCCAUGUUGUUGGAACCAGGACCCUUUAGGCCAGCAAACACACAAGCCACCCUUAGUG